CAUCUCUCUAGCAUUUCUUAGAGUUUAGGCACCUGAGAUGACUUUCUUGGAUCUUUCCCAAAUGUAUUUCCUGCUUUUUUUUUUUUCCUCAGAGUUUUCCUGUGUGUUUUAUAAAGCUGUUUCUUAGAAGUAAUUCUUUCCCGUAUUUUUUCCUGCUCUGUAUCAUCACAUACUGAUUAAUACCAGCCUCCACAAGCUCCCAGCUUCUGAGUCACUUUAUAGUCCACAUGCAAAACUCCAUACCAGCUCUGUUAAUAGAGGAAAUUAUGACACAACUGCAUGUUAUAUAGACAUAUUUUUUCCAUGUUUUAUAAUUAUUUCAGGUUCUUUAAAGGUAUAUUUUAAUUUAAAGCUAUUUGUCUACCUUUUCCUUUUCUACUCAAGAAGCCUUUUAUCUGUUAUUUCCUCAUAAAAAGCUUAUUAUACCCAGUGUAUUAAGCUAUAUUGUAUUUUGCCCACUCUGCUUCAUCAGCAAAGAGCUCUUAGAUUACAGCAAAACAGGUUUGGCUUGGGGGAAAGGAGACAGAGAUCAAAUGCAAGGAAGAAAUAAUAUAGACUAGCUCUGAGAUGUUGCAUGAAAGUGAACUCUAAUGUAAAACUGCCAUCUUAAAGUCAUCAACCUUCAAGGGAUGAGCCAGCAGCCUCUGCUUUCUUUAGAGGGCUUCAUCCAGAGGGUGGUUAAUAUGUUAAGGAUGAUGCCCUGUCAACCCAACCACAAUAUCCACUCUGCACCGUAUUAUUCCUGCAUAGAAUCAUUAAGGCUGGAAAAGACCACUAAGGUCAUCGAGUCCAACCAUCAGUCCAUAACCACAUGCCCACUAAAUUGUGCCCCUCAGUGCCACAUCUCCACCUUUCUUGAACACCUCCAGGGACAGUGACUCCACCACCUCCCUGGGCAUCCUGUUCCAACACCUCACCACUCUUCCCGAGAAGAAAUUUCUCAUAAUACCCAAACUGAACCUCCCCUGCUGCAACUUAAGGGCAAUGCCUCUCUUCCUAUCACUGUUACCCAGGAGAAGAGGCUGAUCCCCACCUCACCACAACCUCCUUCCAGGCAGUUGUAGAGAGCAAUAAGGUCUCCCCUGGGCCUUCUCUUCUCCAGGCUAAACAAUCCCAGCUUCCGCAGCUGCUCCUCAU
rnacentral:lncRNA from 1 species